UGUUUGUGGGUUUGUGCCAUCAGCUUUGGUGUGCAGUUGUGUGUGUGUGUUUAACUUAAAUGUUAACUAUUUGACAAUUUUAAGAUUAUUUUGAAAUAUCUAGUUUAGAUCAUUCUUGUCUUACAUGAAAUUUUUUCCAGAAAUGUUGGCAUAAUUCAUGAGAAAUCCUUGAAUUUAGGGAAUUGUUACCAUUAUAGCUUAUUUUGAAGUAUUCUGAGAAUAAAAUCUUAAAG
rnacentral:lncRNA from 1 species